CAGCACACAGCCUAAUGGGAAACUCACGCAUUCGUUAUGUCAACAUUUGGAUGCUCUUUGAAGGGCUUCUGAGAGAGGGAUGAGAAUGAUUUGAGGGUGAGUUUUGGCCUUGACCCUGUGCCACAGCAGACAAAAUGAAACUCUUCUUGAGCUGAAGAUAAUCAAGAUGAAAGCAUGUUUACAGAGAUGAACAGUGGGAUUUACCCAGUGCCUCUAGAAGGCAGUCCUGGGGUUCAGUGCUCCAGAAAUAGCACGCUGUGUUGCUAAGCUGGUAAAUUACUGUGAGCCUUUUUAAAGAAUGGAUUAUGGGAAGCAUCUAGGUGAAAUUCGGCCUGGAGCUCCUGCUGUGGCGCAAUGGGAACACUGGGAUGCAGGUUCAAUCCCUGGCCCGGCACAGUGAGUUAAGGAUCUGGUGUUGCUGUAGCUGAGGCUUAAGUUGCAACUGCGGCUUGUAUCUGAUCCCUGGCCUGGAAAAUCCAUAUGCCUCAAGCUGUGGAGAGUCCCAAGGGCCCUUUUCUCUCUCCUUGUUUUUUGUAUUCUUUUUGCCCACAUUGGGUAAUUGGAGAUACUUGUGGUGUUAAAGCUGGACUUGUUCCUUCUCAGCCUGCCCCUCGAACAGUGAAAUUGUAAGCCUGUGGCUUCAACUGUGCACAACAGUGAUUUCUCUGCAGUGCCCCUCAGAUGUAAAAGGAGAACGGCUGAAAUACUAGAAAGAGGGAUAUAGGAAAUCGCCAAACAACAAUUUUCCACGUCUAUAGGUCCUUUCAUCUGAGGGCAAAAGAAGCUGGAAAGGGUGCCUCCACAAGGAUUGGCAGGGGGGCCCACACUUUAAAACUCUCUGGUUAUGGGCUAAGGAACUGCAGAUCAAAGGACUCUGUCCUCAGAAUUACACAGUGAGUCACUGGAAAAACUCUGAGCAAAAGUCAGGCAUCCUGUUCUCCAGUCUUAUAUGGCUAAUAAGUACAAUUGACUUUAAACAGUGCAUUUAUUUAUUUUUUUAAUUGAGAUCCAAUACCAUCCUAAAGAAUAUAAUUACAUGUGCAUUACAGAUUAAGAAUUUUAAGCUCUUAGGCAGUCUGAGGUAUUUUGUGAUGAUGAUGCAGUAGAUGAAGUGAAAUGGGACUUGAGAAGCCUGAGCGUCUACUGUGUGGUUGGUCCCUGUGCUCCCCUGGGAUAUUGGCCUCCCUUACAAACGGCUGCCAUUAUUCGGGCCACCUUGUGGCUUCCAUUUAGAUGUUCUCCUUGAAGAGAGAUUUUUCCAAAAUGAAAUUAACAGCUCUGAAGUGUCCUUGGUAAGCCUGUGAUUUAUGUCUUCCAAUUUUUGACCGCUGUAAGCAUUUCAGUCUGUUGCCCACCAGUUGGGAUCAGCAUGUUGGUUUUAAGUUUGUCUCCCAAUGGAAUGCUUUCACAUAUUGUCACAAAGGUAUCUGUAGACUUGAGGGCAGCAGGGUUUGUUUGAACAAGGAAUAUGUAUACGUCCCAUUUAAUUUGGAUUCUUUUUCAUAUGCCUUCUUGGUACAUGCCAGUUUCUGGUGAUGGGUGAGCUGGCCAGAAGGUUAGGUGACUUGCAGUGCAGGUGGCUAAGGUAUGCGUGUACAAGUGUGUGCGUGUGCCAAGAUGUGCAGGUGCACAUGAGUGUUCCUAUGGUACAACUGAGCCGGAGGGAUGUUAAUCUUCCCUUGACCUGCCGAAGCUUAAAGAUGAAGUUCUAAGAUGAGCUCUACACAGAUGAGUUCUAAGUAUCUCCCCCAAGCAUGUUCUAAGAGAUCACCUCCCACGGAGAAUUUUGAGGCCUUGGUGUCUUUGUUUCUUAGAGAUUUAAAGAGCAUUGCCUCUCUAACUGCACCUAGCCUGGUGACACAUGGCACGCUCACCUUUGAGGCCAAACAAGAAGUGUAUUCGGGUCAGGGAAACUUUUGAAAAUCCCUUGAGAUUAGUGCAAAUGUUAAGGUACCAAGGAUACAAUGAAAGUAUGAGCUUUGCAGUCAGACAGACUGAAGCUUAAUGCUGGCCCCACCACUUCCUAGAUGUGUAAUCUUAGGUUGAUUACUUAACUGCUAUGAUCCUCAGUUUCUUCUUUUGUAAAGACAAGAUAAUAACUACUACACAGAUUUGUUGUGAGGAUUCACAGAAUAUAUAUGUGAAACUUCAAGGAUAUAGUAGACUUUCAAUAAAUGUUCGUUUUACUUUCCCUCUAUCUUAGCCACCUUCUCGCUCUAUCCUUACUUGGCCAGCAGGAAGAGAAGAAAGCUCUCUGUCUCUCCUCUUAGAAGGACACUAAUCCCAUCACGAGGACACCACCCUCAUCACCUAAUUACCUCCCAAAGGCCCCAUCUUCAAACAUCAUCACCUUGGGAAUUAGGGUUUCAGCAUGCGAAUUUUGGGGGGACACAAGUGUAAUUCAAAACAUCCUUCCUCCCGUCCUCUUGCAUAUCUGAUUUGGAAGAUCUAUAUGCUCUGAUUCGUUUUCAUCAUGUUGUUCCCACCAUAAAAUUCUGUCAGAGUUUUCUCCAAACUUGAGUGGAUGUUUUGGAUUUUGUUGAGUCUUUUCAUGAUUUAAUUAUACUACAUGUAUAAUUCCAGCUGUCAUUUGAUAUUCUUAACCUGUGUGACGCUCAGAGUAAGAGUUCACUGACAAAGAGUAAUUCAGCACCCUGUUGGCAUUUGUCUGUCACAUGUUAAUUUGUCUAUUAACUCUAGCAGUUAAUGGCUGUAGACUGAGGAAGACAGGCUGGUCCGUGAGUAUGUCAAGGUCUGGCCUGGCUGAUUUGUCACCUUUAACACCAGUUGUUGUGAUACAUAAGCCCCCAAAUCUCCAUGGCUUAAUAAGUACACUCUUAUUUCUUGUUCCCAUCAAAUUUAAGUGAGUAUUCUUAAUUGGUGGGAAGCUCUUCUCCAAGCAGAAAUUCCUUCCACUUUGUAGCUUAACCAUUUUCAAUCAAUGACUUCCGAGGUCAUUCCGGAAGAAGAAAGAGCAUGAAGAAUUGCAAAUGGGAGGUUUUAGGGGCCAAGCCUGGAAGUGUCUCAGGUCAUUCCCACCCAUACGCCACUGGCAAGGAUUUACAUGGCCAUACUGAGCGGUAAAGACUAGAAAACAUGACAUGGCUAUGUGUCCAGGGGAAGAGGAAGCAGGCUUUGUGAUCAACUAGAAAUCUCUGACAAAUGUAUAUGUUGGUUUAGCCUCCUCCUUCUGGACCUGUAUGUCCUCCCUUGAUUGACCCUUCUUCCAGCUUAUGACAUCAGUGUGUUAUUUUGAUUCUAGUUCAGAUAAUGCCUUAUUUAAGAGAUCUUAACUUAGUUAACUUGCCUUCAUCUGGUAUCCUUUUGAUUCAGCUUCUUGACCCUUCCCUCUGGCCUUUUUUCAUUCAGAGAAGAUGAGAAUUAUUUUAGAGUGAAAGAGAAUUUUAGAGAUCAUUCUGUUCAGCAAUUGUUUUUAUACUAGAUGUAUUUAUAUCCAAAGACUAUUGGUUAAGUUUACUUAGUACAUGGAAACAAAAGAUGAACAUAUUAGAAUCUGUGUUCCUGAAGCUUUCUUUUUUAUAAUGCGUAGGCAUUUUGAAAGAGGUCCGUAGGAAGGGAGGAGCUUUCUGGUGUGAAGGAAAGUGUUUGUGGGUUUCAGCCCUAGCUUUAGCUCUCAUCAGCCAUGUGAAAAUUUCCUCAUUUUUAAAUGGGCUUAAUAGAAUACAGAGAAGAAGUAUUGGAAACUUGUACAACCAAGGAGUAAAGAUGUUAUGUCUGGUGGUAAGACUAUGAAUGAUUUUUGGUUUGGUUUGAUUCUGUUUUGUUUUUUCAGUUUUUUUUUUUUCUCCAAAUUUUAUGCAUUAGGAAUGAAUUCCUUUUCUAUUUACUGUCCCUCCCAAGCUCAAUAUCUCUUCAAAUGUGAAAAUCUUAAACAAAAAAAGGUGGAGAUAAUUUCAAGCUCCAGCUACCUCGCAGAGUUAUGAGCAUCACAUGAAACAAUUUAUAAGAGGGCACUCUGAAAAAUGAAGAGUAACCAUAUAAUACAGUCUUGCUGGCAGGUUAUUGCCAGCAGGUUAGACUUAGCCUUAAAAAUUUAGAGUUUCUAUGCAGGGGAAGUGGAACUCAAGCAGACAUCUUGAAUCUUUUAAAUUCACCAUUUUGGUUUAUUUCUCCCCCAAGAAGAGGAAAUUCUGCAGGCUCAAAAUGAGUAUUUGUUUCUCAGAAAGACACAAACUCAAGAGUCUCUGCUGUGCCUGCAGAGUGACGCUAAAUUAAUCAGUAUUAAAAUCAUCAUUUUAAACUUGAAAGGGAAAAGGUGAUCUUAGCAAGGAAUUACCCCAUAUUCUUGAGUAGAGGGGAAGAGGGAGAAUAAAAGGCAGGUAGAGGAGGACUGCCUGAUCAUCUGAAAAUCCUCCCUUUCAUGUAUUAUGUUGAUGAUAUAAAAAUGUAGCAGACCUGCUUGUUAGGCAGAGACUCACAUGGAAGUGCUUUAGUUCACUUAUCUGGCUUCCCAC
rnacentral:lncRNA from 1 species